rnacentral:rRNA from 1 species
UAAGGAAUAUUGGUCAAUGGACGCAAGUCUGAACCAGCCAUGCCGCGUGGAGGAUGAAUGCCCUCUGGGUUGUAAACUCCUUUUAUUUGGGAAGAAAUGUAGGAAUUCUUUCUUACUUGACGGUACCAAGUGAAUAAGCACCGGCUAACUCCGUGCCAGCAGCCGCGGUAAUACGGAGGGUGCAAGCGUUAUCCGGAUUCACUGGGUUUAAAGGGUGCGUAGGCGGGCAGGUAAGUCAGUGGUGAAAUCUUCGAGCUUAACUCGGAAACUGCCGUUGAUACUAUCUGUCUUGAAUGUUGUGGAGGUGAGCGGAAUAUGUCAUGUAGCGGUGAAAUGCUUAGAUAUGACAUAGAACACCCAUUGCGAAGGCAGCUCACUACGCAACAAUUGACGCUGAGGCACGAAAGCGUGGGGAUCAAACAG